GCUGGGCGUGGUGGCUUAUGCCUGUAAUCCCAGCACUUUGGGAGGCUGAGGUGGGAGGAUUGCUUGAGCCCAGGAGUUUGAAACCAGCCUGGGCAACAUGGCGAGAUCCCAUCUCAU
rnacentral:SRP_RNA from 1 species